CUCGUAUUGACGCUGCCAUCGCGCUUACCUGUCCCUGCAGCGCCACCUCUGUGCCGUCAGGAAUACAGCCGAUUCUUGUAGCACCGCGGAAGAAGGCAUAGAAAAUGGACAAUUGACAAAUAUGGAGCUGAAACAUUUUCUUUCACUUUCACUUUCCAUCAUCUGGAAGGAGCAAGAAAGGGAACUAAAUUUUUGGAGUGGUUCUUCUAAGAACCAGGUUUGGAGGCUGAGUAUUCCCAGAUCAAGAUGCUGGCAGUGGCAGUGUUAGUAUCUAGUGAAGAUCCACUUCCUGGUAUCACCUUUUUGCUGUGUCCUCACAUGGUGGGAGAGGUGAGCUAGCUCUCUGUGUGU